GGAAGUAAAAGUCGUAGCAAGGUUUCCGUAGGUGAACCUGCGGAAGGAUCAUUUUUGGAUUCUAUCAAUAGUGCCGAUUGCAUUCGUGUAGUCGACCUGCAAACAACAACUCUUGAACACUGCACUGUGUCUGAUACCAUUACAAUACAAAACAACUUUCAACAACGGAUCUCUAGGCUCUU
rnacentral:misc_RNA from 1 species